rnacentral:rRNA from 1 species
GAUGAACGCUGGCGGCGUGCCUAAUACAUGCAAGUCGAGCGAACAGACGAGGAGCUUGCUCCUCUGACGUUAGCGGCGGACGGGUGAGUAACACGUGGAUAACCUACCUAUAAGACUGGGAUAACUUCGGGAAACCGGAGCUAAUACCGGAUAAUAUAUUGAACCGCAUGGUUCAAUAGUGAAAGACGGUUUUGCUGUCACUUAUAGAUGGAUCCGCGCCGCAUUAGCUAGUUGGUAAGGUAACGGCUUACCAAGGCGACGAUGCGUAGCCGACCUGAGAGGGUGAUCCGCCACACUGGAACUGCGACACGGUCCAGACUCCUACGGGAGGCAGCAGUAGGGAAUCUUCCGCAAUGGGCGAAAGCCUGACGGAGCAACGCCGCGUGAGUGAUGAAGGUCUUCUGAUCGUAAAACUCUGUUAUUAGGGAAGAACAAAUGUGUAAGUAACUAUGCACGUCUUGACGGUACCUAAUCAGAAAGCCACGGCUAACUACGUG